rnacentral:rRNA from 1 species
CCUACGGGAGGCAGCAGUGAGGAAUAUUGGUCAAUGGGCGCGAGCCUGAACCAGCCAAGUAGCGUGAAGGAUGACAGCCCUACGGGUUGUAAACUGCUUUUAUAAAGGAAUAAAGUGAGGCACGUGUGCCUUUGUGGAUGUACUUUAUGAAUAAGGAUCGGCUAACUCCGUGCCAGCAGCCGCGGUAAUACGGAGGAUCCGAGCGUUAUCCGGAUUUAGUGGGUUUAAAGGGAGCGUAGAUGGGUUGUUAAGUCAGUUGUGAAAGUUUGCGGCUCAACCGUAAAAUUGCAAUUUCUACUGGCAGCCUUGCGUACAGUUGCGGUAGGCUGCAUUCGUUGUGUAGCGGU